rnacentral:rRNA from 1 species
UACGUAGGGGGCAAGCGUUGUCCGGAUUUAUUGGGCGUAAAGAGCGUGUAGGCGGCCAGACAGGUCCGUUGUGAAAACUCGAGGCUCAACCUCGAGAUGUCGAUGGAAACCGUCUGGCUAGAGUCCGGAAGAGGAGUGUGGAAUUCCUGGUGUAGCGGUUAAAUGCGCAGAUAUCAGGAAGAACACCUAUGGCGAAGGCAGCACUCUGGGACGGUACUGACGCUGAGACGCGAAAGCGUGGGGAGCGAACAGG